ACUGACGUGUAUAGUAUAACUGGACUGCGGAUGUUCGAUGUGUUGUGAAGCAACGGCUGGGGGCGGGACAUGGGACGAUUUUUGGGCGGAAGAAGGAAGUAGAGCGCCUUUUUCCAUUGAUCUCUAUGGUGGACUUGAAGCCAUAUAGUUCCUAGGCAAUUCUUGCCGAGUCGGCCCUGUUUCGUUAAAACGGUAGUCUCCCCUCCCUCCCAAACAACCCAGAUAUUUUUUUCGGGCUGACCCUUUAUUUAAGAAAGCUAUUAAAAUAGUUUAAAUGACCAAUGAGCAUGGCUAUUUGGGUUGAUUGGCAGUUGCCAUUCUUUAGAAUUAUUGUUUUGAUUGACAGGCAGGCCGUUGUCAAGGAGAAGGGCGAGUCUCGCGGCGUCUCCAGGGGAAGCCCCCUCCCUCCCUGCUGCAUUACUUUCAACCAGCUCUGCUUUCAACAGCUUCAUUACUGCGAUGGGUUAUUUAAUUUUGGUACACUUUCCCCACAAAUAUGCGUUGUUGUACUUUUGGAUGUACUUCUCCGUACUCUGUAAGGACCUCUGCAGUUUUGGUAAGUAAAAUAAAAACAUGUAUAUACGUGGCUGAUUGACCAAAAUGACUGAGCUUUGUUAAACAAACACGUACGACAAUGCUAGCUUGUUAUUAGCCCAAGACAGCAUGCUGAUCUUUCAGUGUUUGAUGAUCUGUCGGCUUGUCAAGUAACUUAAUUAUAAUUUGAAUGCCAUUGCUUUUGAAAGCAAAAUGUGUCUGUUUGGCGUGCGUCAGGUGUAAUUCCCUCCUUCCGUACCGUAGCCAAGUCCUUACAUCAAGAUGAGUAAACAUUUCACUACCAUUCUGGCACUAUGCUGGCCAGUGGCCACAUCGGAAAAGCAACGUAGUCUAGCUGUGUUCCUCCGUCAACUGUUAAAUAUUGUUUGUUUCUGUGUUGCCAAAUUGCUAGUUGGUGAUGAAAUGAUGGUCAUUGGUACGUUCGUUUUCAGUAUGCAAAUUGCGUCAUUAAUGUUGACUGUACUGAGUGACGAGUGCAUAGUGUAAUGCAAAUUGUGUCAUUAAUGUUUAAUUGUAGGCCUACUGACGAGUGCAUUGUGUAGUAAACAUUUCCCCAUCCUCAUGUGACAUGGUUUCAUUCUGUAGGCAAACAACAAACCACACUUCACCUGGAAAACAGAGCCAGGACUCACUGUCAGAUGUCUGAAAAUGUACAGUAGGCUACACGCCAGCAGGUCUCACCAUAGUCAACAUCAUCAAGGAUUGUCACUCUGACCUGAGAAGAGGCCCCAUAGAGACACGGACAAGGACCAGCCACUGUUGCCAGUGCACAACUGAGGACCCGACCAGCCUGCUGCCAUCUAUGAUACUAUAUAGUACCCGCGGAGCGGUCUGAAGACGUGGAGUACACUGCAGCAGGUAUCACAUGACCAAGGACUUGGACAACGUCUCUGUUUACAUCUAUAGUGUAUUACACAACUGAAGAUGUGCACAGUACCCUACUGCCUGCAUCCUACCACCACAGAGGAUCCGAUAUGCAGAACCAGCUUCAAAAACCAUUGCAAUUAUGAAACACAGUUAAUAAAUGCUUAUAUACAGCAGCCCGCACAUUUUGUUUAAUUUGUAAUAUUGGUUAACACACUAUUGUAACAACUGUUUAGAUCGGUGUUUCCCAACCAGGGGUACAUGUACCACUAGGGGUACGUGAACACAAUGCAGGUGGUACAUGCAUUGGCAGGUAUCAAUAAAAAGAAAUGUAUGGAGCAUAAUCAUAUUGGGAUAGAGCAGUGGUUCCUAACCUAUGGGUCGGGACCCAACUUAUGGGUCGCCAAAGAUCCACAGUGGGUCGCGAAGCCCUCUUGAUUUUAAGGGGUUUCGUUUUAAUACCAUAUAGCCCAUGUUGAAUAUAUGACAAAGUAAAGCUUUUAAACUGAUAUAUGCAUAGAGGCAACAAAAUGUAAGCGACACAUUAAACAGUCAUUCUAUAUUUGACUGAAGACAAAUUGAGGAAUACAAUUUUCUAAUGAGUUUCCGCAUGACUCCCUCUCGCCUGGGACUCCCUCUCGCGUGGGCGCUGGCAUGAUUGGGUCACCAAAGCUUACAAUGGUAAAAAUAUGGGUCCCUGAAGAAAAAGGUUGGGAACCACUGGGAUAGAGGAAG